rnacentral:rRNA from 1 species
GGGAACUGAAACAUCUAAGUACCCCGAGGAAAAGAAAUCAACCGAGAUUCCCCCAGUAGCGGCGAGCGAACGGGGAGCAGCCCAGAGUCUGAAUCAGCUUGUGUGUUAGUGGAACGGUCUGGAAAGUCCGACGGUACAGGGUGAUAGUCCCGUACACCAAAAUGCACAGGUUGUGAACUCGAAGAGUAGGGCGGGACACGUGGUAUCCUGUCUGAAUAUGGGGGGACCAUCCUCCAAGGCUAAAUACUCCUGACUGACCGAUAGUGAACCAGUACCGUGAGGGAAAGGCGAAAAGAACCCCGGCGAGGGGAGUGAAAAAGAACCUGAAACCGUGUACGUACAAGCAGUGGGAGCACCUUCGGGUGUGACUGCGUACCUUUUGUAUAAUGGGUCAGCGACUUAUAUUCUGUAGCAAGGUUAACCGUAUAGGGGAGCCGCAGGGAAACCGAGUCUUAACUGGGCGUUAAGUUGCAGGGUAUAGACCCGAAACCCGGUGAUCUAGCCAUGGGCAGGUUGAAGGUUGGGUAACACUAACUGGAGGACCGAACCGACUAAUGUUGAAAAAUUAGCGGAUGACUUGUGGCUGGGGGGGAAAGGCCAAUCAAACCGGGAGAUAGCUGGUUCUCCCCGAAAGCUAUUUAGGUAGCGCCUCGUGAACUCAUCUUCGGGGGUAGAGCACUGUUUCGGCUAGGGGGUCAUCCCGACUUACCAACCCGAUGCAAACUACGAAUACCGAAGAAUGUUAUCACGGGAGACACACGGCGGGUGCUAACGUCCGUCGUGAAGAGGGAAACAACCCAGACCGCCAGCUAAGGUCCCAAAGUCAUGGUUAAGUGGGAAACGAUGUGGGAAGGCACAGACAGCCAGGAUGUUGGCUUAGAAGCAGCCAUCAUUUAAAGAAAGCGUAAUAGCUCACUGGUCGAGUCGGCCUGCGCGGAAGAUGUAACGGGGCUAAACCAUGCACCGAAGCUGCGGCAGCGACACUAUGUGUUGUUGGGUAGGGGAGCGUUCUGUAAGCCUGCGAAGGUGUGCUGUGAGGCAUGCUGGAGGUAUCAGAAGUGCGAAUGCUGACAUAAGUAACGAUAAAGCGGGUGAAAAGCCCGCUCGCCGGAAGACCAAGGGUUCCUGUCCAACGUUAAUCGGGGCAGGGUGAGUCGACCCCUAAGGCGAGGCCGAAAGGCGUAGUCGAUGGGAAACAGGUUAAUAUUCCUGUACUUGGUGUUACUGCGAAGGGGGGACGGAGAAGGCUAUGUUAGCCGGGCGACGGUUGUCCCGGUUUAAGCAUGUAGGCUGGUUAUCCAGGCAAAUCCGGAUAAUCAAGGCUGAGGUGUGAUGACGAGGCACUACGGUGCUGAAGUAACAAAUGCCCUGCUUCCAGGAAAAGCCUCUAAGCAUCAGGUAACAUCAAAUCGUACCCCAAACCGACACAGGUGGUCAGGUAGAGAAUACCAAGGCGCUUGAGAGAACUCGGGUGAAGGAACUAGGCAAAAUGGUGCCGUAACUUCGGGAGAAGGCACGCUGGUGUGUAGGUGAAGCCCCUGCGGGUGGAGCUGAGACCAGUCGAAGAUACCAGCUGGCUGCAACUGUUUAUUAAAAACACAGCACUGUGCAAACACGAAAGUGGACGUAUACGGUGUGACGCCUGCCCGGUGCCGGAAGGUUAAUUGAUGGGGUUAUCCGUAAGGAGAAGCUCUUGAUCGAAGCCCCGGUAAACGGCGGCCGUAACUAUAACGGUCCUAAGGUAGCGAAAUUCCUUGUCGGGUAAGUUCCGACCUGCACGAAUGGCGUAAUGAUGGCCAGGCUGUCUCCACCCGAGACUCAGUGAAAUUGAACUCGCUGUGAAGAUGCAGUGUACCCGCGGCAAGACGGAAAGACCCCGUGAACCUUUACUAUAGCUUGACACUGAACAUUGAGCCUUGAUGUGUAGGAUAGGUGGGAGGCUUUGAAGCGUGGACGCCAGUCUGCGUGGAGCCAACCUUGAAAUACCACCCUUUAAUGUUUGAUGUUCUAACGUUGGCCCCUGACCGGGGUUGCGGACAGUGUCUGGUGGGUAGUUUGACUGGGGCGGUCUCCUCCCAAAGCGUAACGGAGGAGCACGAAGGUUAGCUAAUCCUGGUCGGACAUCAGGAGGUUAGUGCAAUGGCAUAAGCUAGCUUGACUGCGAGCGUGACGGCGCGAGCAGGUGCGAAAGCAGGUCAUAGUGAUCCGGUGGUUCUGAAUGGAAGGGCCAUCGCUCAACGGAUAAAAGGUACUCCGGGGAUAACAGGCUGAUACCGCCCAAGAGUUCAUAUCGACGGCGGUGUUUGGCACCUCGAUGUCGGCUCAUCACAUCCUGGGGCUGAAGUAGGUCCCAAGGGUAUGGCUGUUCGCCAUUUAAAGUGGUACGCGAGCUGGGUUUAGAACGUCGUGAGACAGUUCGGUCCCUAUCUGCCGUGGGCGCUGGAGAAUUGAGGGGGGCUGCUCCUAGUACGAGAGGACCGGAGUGGACGCAUCACUGGUGUUCGGGUUGUCAUGCCAAUGGCACUGCCCGGUAGCUAAAUGCGGAAGAGAUAAGUGCUGAAAGCAUCUAAGCACGAAACUUGCCCCGAGAUGAGUUCUCCCUGAGACUUUAAGUCUCCUGAAGGAACGUUAAAGACGAUGACGUUGAUAGGCCGGGUGUGUAAGCGCAGCGAUGCGUUGAGCUAACCGGUACUAAUGAACCGUGAGGCUUAACCUU